rnacentral:rRNA from 1 species
GAUGAACGCUGGCGGCGUGCCUAAUACAUGCAAGUCGAGCGAACAGAUGAGGAGCUUGCUCCUCUGACGUUAGCGGCGGACGGGUGAGUAACACGUGGAUAACCUACCUAUAAGACUGGGAUAACUUCGGGAAACCGGAGCUAAUACCGGAUAAUAUAUUGAACCGCAUGGUUCAAUAGUGAAAGACGGUUUUGCUGUCACUUAUAGAUGGAUCCGCGCCGCAUUAGCUAGUUGGUAAGGUAACGGCUUACCAAGGCAACGAUGCGUAGCCGACCUGAGAGGUGGACGGGCACAAGGGGAGCUAAACCCGGGACAGGCCCCCGAGGGGGGGAAGCAGGGGGGGUGCGUCGGAAAGGGCGGAAGGCCUGAGGGACAAACGCGGAGGGAGGAAGAAGGUUUUGCGAUUAGUAAACUGUUUUAUUGGGGAAAAAAAAAAUGUGAAAGAACUACUCCGUGCCUGGAGGGUCCUAAUAAAAAAACCCCCGCUAACUCGCGU